CCUACGGGCGGCAGCAGUGGGGAAUAUUGCACAAUGGGGGAAACCCUGAUGCAGCGACGCCGCGUGAAGGAAGAAGUAUCUCGGUAUGUAAACUUCUAUCAGCAGGGAAGAUAGUGACGGUACCUGACUAAGAAGCCCCGGCUAACUACGUGCCAGCAGCCGCGGUAAUACGUAGGGGGCUAGCGUUAUCCGGAAUUACUGGGCGUAAAGGGUGCGUAGGUGGUUUCUUAAGUCAGAGGUGAAAGGCUACGGCUCAACCGUAGUAAGCCUUUGAAACUGGGAAACUUGAGUGCAGGAGAGGAGAUUGGAAUUCCUAGUGUAGCGGUGAAAUGCGUAGAUAUUAGGAGGAACACCAGUUGCGAAGGCGGCUCUCUGGACUGUAACUGACACUGAGGCACGAAAGCGUGGGGAGCAAACAGGAUUA
rnacentral:rRNA from 1 species